UACGUAGGCAGCAAGCGUUGUUCGGAGUUACUGGGCGUAAAGGGUGUGUAGGCGGUCUUCUAAGUUUGGUGUGAAAUCUCCCGGCUUAACUGGGAGGGUGCGCCGAAGACUGGAAGGCUUGAGUAUGGGAGAGGUAAGCGGAAUUCCUGGUGUAGCGGUGAAAUGCGUAGAUAUCAGGAGGAACACCUGCGGUGUAGACGGCUUACUGGACCAUAACUGACGCUGAGGCACGAAAGCGUGGGUAGCAAACAGG
rnacentral:rRNA from 1 species